rnacentral:lncRNA from 1 species
AAACUGUAACAAACUUAAGCACGAAGAAAAUAUCCAAAGAAGGAUCCAGAGAGAGAUGACAGAUAAAUCAUUCCACACCCAAUUCUAACAAAUUCAUUCCCUAUUUAUUGAUAUUUUGGAUUUGGUUUCCUUAUGCGCGUGACUCUCCCUGCUUCCACAAUUUGUAGAGACGAGGCCACAUUGCCUGGCUCAUCAUUAUUCAUCAUUGGCUCAUCAUUGCUCAUCAUCGUGUCAGCAUUAUUAAUGAUCCCGACAUCAUUCCUUACAACCAAUUUGAUGGUUUAAUAAAACCAGGGAUCAUUUUGAAAUAUUCGUAUAGUUGUGGACCUAUCUGAGAGUGUCUUACUGAGUCAGGGACUAAUAUAGUGGUUUAUUUUAUGAAAUUGAUUUUGACAUGUUUGGGUGAUGCAGAUUGAAAUUGAUUUUGCUUCUAGAGUAGAUUCUAACUUGAAGUUAGGAUUUGUAGCUUUUGACUGCAAAUAUGAUUUUCAUACUCAAAUUUAUUGCUCGGGUCACUUUUACGUGAAUGUAUCCAAAUAUAAACCACUUCACAACCAACUCACUCUUAACUAAAAUCAAUUUUACAAAAUCACCUUUUGUUACCGCUGAACCAAACAUACUAUAUUGAUUAGUGGAAAUUUUAUUAGUAUUACCCUUUUUAUUUUGGUUUUUAAUCUUUCUGAGUUCAAAUUUGAUCCAAUGUGGCGGCAUGAUAUUAAAAUGGUUAGAUAUGUUUUUGUGAAGUAGUUGAGAUAGAAAACUGUUUGGUAUAAUUUGUUAAUACAUGAUUGGACAUAGUGGAAAAGAAAUGUUUUG